rnacentral:rRNA from 1 species
GGAAUAUUGGACAAUGGGCGAAAGCCUGAUCCAGCCAUGCCGCGUGUGUGAAGAAGGUCUUCGGAUUGUAAAGCACUUUAAGUUGGGAGGAAGGGCAGUAAAUUAAUACUUUGCUGUUUUGACGUUACCGACAGAAUAAGCACCGGCUAACUCUGUGCCAGCAGCCGCGGUAAUACAGAGGGUGCAAGCGUUAAUCGGAAUUACUGGGCGUAAAGCGCGCGUAGGUGGUUUGUUAAGUUGAAUGUGAAAUCCCCGGGCUCAACCUGGGAACUGCAUCCAAAACUGGCAAGCUAGAGUAGGGCAGAGGGUGGUGGAAUUUCCUGUGUAGCGGUGAAAUGCGUAGAUAUAGGAAGGAACACCAGUGGCGAAGGCGACCACCUGGGCUCAUACUGACACUGAGGUGCGAAAGCGUGGGGAGCAAACAGGAUUAGAUACCCCAG